rnacentral:rRNA from 1 species
UGCCACAGCCAUACACCCAUACAACCUAAUACUGCUCACUGAAGCUAAGCAGGGCUGAGCCUGUUCUGUACCUUGAUGGGAGACCACGUGGGAAAAGUAGGUUGCUGUUGGAG